rnacentral:rRNA from 1 species
GACGAACGCUGGCGGCGUGCCUAAUACAUGCAAGUUGAGCGCUGAAGGUUGGUCCUUGUACCAACUGGAUGAGCAGCGAACGGGUGAGUAACGCGUGGGGAAUCUGCCUUUGAGCGGGGGACAACAUUUGGAAACGAAUGCUAAUACCGCAUAAAAACUUUAAACACAAGUUUUAAGUUUGAAAGAUGCAAUUGCAUCACUCAAAGAAGAUCCCGCGUUGUAUUAGCUAGUUGGUGAGGUAAAGGCUAACCAAGGCGAUGAUACAUAGCCGACCUGAGAGGGUGAUCGGCCACAUUGGGACUGAGACACGGCCCAAACUCCUACGGGAGGCAGCAGUAGGGAAUCUUCGGCAAUGGACGAAAGGCUGAACGAGCAACGCCGCGUGAGUGAAGAAGGUUUUCGGAUCGUAAAACUCUGUUGGUAGAGAAGAACGUUGGUGAGAGUGGAAAGCUCAUCAAGUGACGGUAACUACCCAGAAAGGGACGGCUAACUACGUG